rnacentral:rRNA from 1 species
CCUACGGGAGGCAGCAGUGGGGAAUAUUGGGCAAUGGGCGCAAGCCUGACCCAGCAACGCCGCGUGAAGGAAGAAGGCCCUCGGGUUGUAAACUUCUUUUAUCAGGGACGAAACAAAUGACGGUACCUGAUGAAUAAGCCACGGCUAACUACGUGCCAGCAGCCGCGGUAAGACGUAGGUGGCAAGCGUUAUCCGGAUUUACUGGGUGUAAAGGGAGUGUAGGCGGGAGAGAAAGUCAGGAGUGAAAUUCAAGGGCUAAACCCUGGAACUGCUGUUGAUACUGUUCUUCUUGAGUGUUGGAGAGGCAGGCGGAAUGCCGGGUGGAGCGGUGAAAUGCGUAGAUAUACGGAGGAACACCAGUGGCGAAGGCGGCCUGCUGGACAUUAACUGACGCUGAGGCGCGAAAGCGUGGGGAGCAAACAGGAUUAGAUACCCCAGUAGUC